UACCAGCUCUCCGAGUGGUGUGGAUGUUUAUUUGGCCUAAAGCAUCCGUAGCUGGCUGGGCAAGUCCCCUGUUAAAUCCACCGAUUUAAUCGUUGGAAUGCGGGGGAUACUGUUCGGCUAGGGGACGGGAGAGGCAGACGGUAUUUUCGGGGUAGGGGUGAAAUCCUAUAAUCCCGGGAAGACCACCAGUGGCGAAGGCUGUCUGCUAGAACGCGCCCGACGGUGAGGGAUGAAAGCUGGGGGAGCGAACCGGAUUAGAUACCCGGGUAGUCCCAGCUGUAAACGAUGCAGGCUGGGUGUUUGGACGGCCACGUGCCGUUCUAGUGCCGCAGGGAAGCCGUUAAGCCUGCCGCCUGGGGAGUACGGCCGCAAGGCUGAAACUUAAAGGAAUUGGCGGGGGAGCACCACAAGGGGUGAAGCUUGCGGUUU
rnacentral:rRNA from 1 species